rnacentral:lncRNA from 1 species
UGACACAUGAUAAACAGUUACUUUUUAACAUAACACCUUUAACUCUACCAUAUCUUGUCACUCUUCCUAAUGGCUAUAAAGUGAAAGUGACAUGCACAAGCUCUUUUGCAUUGACUCCUUCCAUCACUCUUCACAAUGUACUGUUGGUUCCUUCUUUUAAACAGAACUUGAUUUAUGUCCACAAGUUAGUGAAGCAGUUGCAUUGUAUAGUUAUGUUCACUGAACAUUCCUGCUUGCUACACAUGAUACAGGACCCUUCUCUAAGGAGGCCUCUGGAUCUUGGUAGAGAAGCUGCUGGCUUAUAUAAAUUGGCUUGGGUUCCUCCUUCCUCUUCUUCCUCUGUUAGUUGUUCUUCUACUUCUGUUUGUCCUGUAUCUGCUUCUUGUGAUGAAAGCAAAGUUGUUGCAUUGCCUUCUGUGUCUGUUUCUUGUAAUGAUGACAUCUUGUCUGAUAACAAGGGUGUUCCAUUGCCUUCUCAUGUGAAUAAUUCCAUCUGUAAUAAUGAUUUUACAUCUGAUAUGAAUUACAUUUGGCACUUAAGGCUUGCACAUACUCCUUUCUGUAAUAAUGAUCUUACAUCUGACAUGAAUUACAUUUGGCACUUAAGACUUGCUCAUACUUCUUUUGCAAAUAUGAAAUGCAUUUCUGGUCUGUCUUUUCCAUUUUCUUCCAAACAACCUUUUCCAUGUUCAGUCUGUCCUAUGGCCAGACAAACUAGGCUUCCAUUUCCUGAUAGUUCCAUUAAGACUUCUAGACCCUUUCAACUGAUUCAUGUGGACACUUGGGGACCUUAUCAUACUCCAACCUCUNNNN